rnacentral:rRNA from 1 species
UACGGAGGAUCCAAGCGUUAUCCGGAAUCAUUGGGUUUAAAGGGUCCGUAGGCGGCCCGAUAAGUCAGCGGUGAAAUCUCCCGGCUCAACCGGGAAAUGGCCAUUGAUACUGUCGGGCUUGAAUUGCUGGGAAGUAACUAGAAUAUGUAGUGUAGCGGUGAAAUGCUUAGAGAUUACAUGGAAUACCAAUUGCGAAGGCAGGUUACUACCAGCGGAUUGACGCUGAUGGACGAAAGCGUGGGUAGCGAACAGG